rnacentral:rRNA from 1 species
UAGGGAAUCUUCGGCAAUGGGGGGAACCCUGACCGAGCAACGCCGCGUGAGUGAAGAAGGUUUUCGGAUCGUAAAGCUCUGUUGUUAAGGAAGAACGAGCGUGAGAAUGGAAAGUUCAUGCUGUGACGGUACUUAACCAGAAAGGGACGGCUAACUACGUGCCAGCAGCCGCGGUAAUACGUAGGUCUCGAGCGUUGUCCGGAUUUAUUGGGCGUAAAGCGAGCGCAGGCGGAUAGAAAAGUCUGAAGUGCAAGGCAGUGGCUAAACCGAUGUAGGCUUUGGAAACUGUUUUACUUGAGUGCAGAAGGGGAGAGUGGAAAUCCAUGUGUAGCGAUGAAAUGCGUAGAUGUAUGGUGGAACACCGGUGGCGAGAGCGGCUCUCUGGACUGUAACUGACGCUGAGGCUCGAAAGAGUGGGGAGCGAACAGG